GUUUUUGUCCCUCUCUUAAAGUGAAUGGUCACAGAGCCAUGAGCAGGUGGAAGAUGCAGGUGGAGGCAUCUUCCCUGUCACCGUUGGUAUGUCUGGUUGAAACCUGCAACAAGGAAUCAGUCUUCAUGCAACUCUCAGCAACCUCUACUGAGAUCUCUGUUGAAGCAUUGUUUGCAAGAGCAGAUAAUCAGAAACCACCCAAAAAAUCAUAAAGAAGACAUUGGGCAAAUCAACAAUGGUAUGCUGAGAUUUGGAUUGCCAAAUUGACCUUGAAGUGAAGGAGGCAGAUUUGCUUGUAAUAACAAUGAAAGCGAUACAAGAUCUUCUAUUUGAAGUGCAGAAUGUCCCAUUCACCAUGAGACGCUGGUAAAUAAUGUUUUCAUUUUGUGCAGCAUGCCUCCAGUUGUGUAAAGAAUGUAAAAGGGAAAUGUCUCAAAACAGAAGAAGACGCCUGUGGGCAGCACCUUCUGCAGAGUGAUCCUGGGAGCUGGAAAGAAGACUCACUUUUCAUUUUACAACCUUGGGCACUGUAAGGAUAUUUUGGGCUUGGUAUGUGUGUUUUGUUGUUGUUGUUUUUUGUUUGUUUUAUUAUACUUUAAGUUUUAGGGUACAUGUACACAACGUGCUGGUUAGUUACAUAUGUAUACAUGUGCCAUGUUGGUGUGCUGCACCCAUUAACUCAUCAUUUAACAUUAGGUAUAUCUCCUAAUGCUAUCCCUCCCCCUCCCCCCACCCCACAACAGGCCCCGGUGUGUGAUGUUCCCCUUCCUGUGUCCAUGUGUUCUCAUUGUUCAAUUCCCACCUAUGAGUGAGAACAUGCGGUGUUUGGUUUUUUGUCCUUGAGAUAGUUUGCUGAGAAUGAUGGUUUCCAGCUUCAUCCAUGUCCCUACAAAGGACAUGAACUCAUCAUUUUUUAUGGCUGCAUAGUAUUCCAUGGUGUAUGGUAUGUGUGUUUUAUAAAAAUAACUUAAUGAAACAUU